UACGGGGGGGGCAAGCGUUGUUCGGAAUUACUGGGCGUAAAGGGCUCGUAGGCGGCCAACUAAGUCGGACGUGAAAGCCCUCGGCUUAACCGAGGAACUGCGUCCGAUACUGGAUGGCUUGAGGUUGGGAGAGGGAUGCGGAAUUCCAGGUGUAGCGGUGAAAUGCGUAGAUAUCUGGAGGAACACCGGUGGCGAAGGCGGCAUCCUGGACCAAUUCUGACGCUGAGUGAGCGAAAGCCAGGGGAGCAAACAGG
rnacentral:rRNA from 1 species